UUUGAGUAGUGUACUAAGUCAUUUGAAUUUCAUUAUAUAUCGCUGAUCAAAUAUCUCCACAACUUCUUCUUUAAUAAGAGAUAGAGAAUGAUCCAAUGAUUAGAGUUUUAAAAAGUACACUAACUACAGUAAGGGUUCAUGAUUACUACAUUGUUGAAUACGAUCAAGCAGUCUGGAAGACUGUCGAGUGUUGCUUUGGAGGAGAUUUCUACCCAGGAUUAUCUUGAAAUGUCAGACUCUCUGGAACUACUAGACUCAGCAUAAACAACAGGAGUUGCUCGAGUUUCGCUCUUGUCGCCCAGGCUGGAGUGCAGUGGCGCGAUCUUGGCUGACUGCAACCUCCACCUCCCAGGUUCAAGCGAUUCUCCUGCCUCAGUCUCCAGAGUAGCUGGGACUACAGGUGCGCACCACCACACCUGGCUAAUGUUGGCAUUUUUAGUAGAGACAGGGUUUCACCAUGUUGACCAAGAUGUUCUCCGUCUCCUGACCUUGGGAUCCGCCCGUCUCGGCCUCCCAAAGUGCUGGGAUUAGAGGCGUGAGCCACUGUGCCCGGCAAUAAAUACUUUUAAGAGUUUCGGUAAUGUGAAUUACUGAGCUAGAAGUUAGAGAUAGGAAUAAAAAUAACCCAAAGAACAAAAUAUUUACUAAGCCGCUGUAUUAAUCUGUUUGCACGCUGCUGAUAAAGACAUAUCCGACACUGGGGAAUUUACAAAGGAAAAUGAUUUAAUGGAGAACUCAGAGUUCUACGUGGAUGGGGAAGCCUCACAAUCAUGACAGAAAGUGAGGCGGAGCAAGUCACAUCUUACCUGGAUGGCGGCAGGAAAAAAGAAAGAGUUUGUGCAGGGGAACUCCUCUUUUAAAAACCAUCAGCUCUCAUGAGACUUAUUCUCUAUCAUGAGAACAGCCCUGAAAGACCUGCCCCCGUGAUUGAAUUACCUCCCACCAGGUGUCUCCCACAAUAGGUGGGAAUUCAAGGUGAGAGCUGGGUGAGGACACAGCCAAACCAUAUCAGCCACCACACAAACAUGAACUUAUGCUAAAAUGUAGUUAAUGUCAUUAUAUAACACAAAUACAUGCAAAGACACAGAGUAAUGAAAGCCUUGUUUAACCAGGUAGAUAGGGCAGUAGUCAGCAAAUGCUUUCUGGCUAAGAUUGGUGUUGCUAUACUGAACCGAAAUAAGAACAUGAAUUAA
rnacentral:lncRNA from 1 species